GAUACCGGGUUGGGCUGUUUCGGGUACAAUGUUUUCAAAUCUUAUUCAUCAGUAUAAGGAAAUUAGAGUUGCUUUCGUCUUGAAUUAUUUUGUAGUAGCUAUAAUAUCUAAAGGGAAAAGUCUUAUACACACUUUCUAUGUUGCUUUUUGACCUUUAGAAGAACAAAUAGAUGAAAGACUCAGGAAGACUAGACUAGUAUUGCGUGUUGAAACAAAUAAGGCAUGGCAUGGACCUCCUUGCAGAAGUAGGAAAAGAAAUAUCUUUAUUUGAUCUUGAGAGAGGAUAGAACUUUUCAAACUCUCCCCUCUUUUGUGCCACAAACGUCUUAUGUAGUUUCCUCUGCAUUUCUAGCUUAGCGUAGUUAUAGGCAGGUUCUAAUAAAUAUAAUGAGAACCAGAAUGUGAAGAACAUCAGAAAGGGUCCUUACUGUAAACUUUUAUUUCUUUUUCUCUUAUUUCACACUUCUUUUAUAGUGUGUCUAUUUCUUUUCACUUCUCUGUAUGUCUCUGUGAAGAGAUGUUUCUAUAGACCCCAUGCUUGCGAAAGCAAUUACAUUAGCAGUAGAUUGGUACAAACUGUAUAACUAGAAGUAGAACAUGGGGUACACGUGUUUGUAACAGUACAUGUAUGUUAUGAAUUCUGUGACUAGAUUUGUAAUUGACCAAAUGCACUAUGCUUCAUCUAAUGUCAGAGAGAGGCGGAACGUUUAUUCUGAACUACAUACAUCGCCAGCUAGGGACAAACAAAAGGUAGUAGCCAGAUUGGAGAGCAAAUAAGACAGAAUCUGAUAUUACUGCACUUUAUGUGGGAUUUUUAUUGUUGUAAAUCUUAAAUCUUUACAGUUCAAGUAAUUGUUGAAGCAAGUGAUGCUGAGAAAUGGGUCUGGACGAGAUCUAAAACUGUUCAAGAGGAUUUGGGAUUUGAUUUUGAGUUACCAACCCUUCCAUCCAAUUGUAGUUAUAGUGUCACGUCACAGUAACAGAUUUGGUGACACAACCUACGCAUGGCUUCAGAUUACUGUUCAGUUCAGAACAAACUUUUGUUCUCUUAUGCUGCCUGCAGUAUAGGUGACAUAGUGACUUUCAUCUGCUUUUGCAGAUAAGAUGUUGUAAAAGUAACCCUUUAUGGUUACUGAGGACAACUAAGAAAAGAAUACUUGUUGCUGAUCCCCCCCCCCCCCCCAAAGAGGUUCAGAUAGAGAAACACAUUAAGCAUGAUAGUAAGCCUUAUACGCAGGUACAAAUACAUUCACUUAAAAAUUGCAUAACUACUGCCAAUUUGGGAAUAUCAUAGAAGUCAAUAGCAAAAUCUAGCAACAUUUAGUAGAGUAUAUCAUCUUCCUCCUUAUAAAUCAUCCCAUUAUAUUGUGGAGAAUCCAAUCUAAUUUAUACUCUUGAGAGAUUGUUAAGGUCGUGGUUGAAUUAUUUGUUUGUUUAAGUUCUUCUAGCAAUACUUUUUUGCAGACGAACUAUGUUCAUUCCUGUCUUAAACUAUUCUUAAUGGCUAGAUGACAGGUCAAACUCUAUAAUCAUUCAAGGAGAAACAGAAACCGAUGAACAAGUAUGUGAUCCAAUGUCAUUUUUGGACAUGCACAAAUCAUAAUGUGGUGUAAUAACAAGGAACAACAUACAGUGCUAGGUAUAUAUAAUUCAUAUGUUGUUACAAAAUGUAAAAUCUGUAAAUCGGCAUGGAAAUAUAUUCCUUACUUGUAUAGCUAACAAAAUCAUAUGAGUUUUGAUUUGUUUACUUUGGUAGAG
rnacentral:lncRNA from 1 species